GGUCUAAAAAGAUUGACUUACAGGGUCACAGAGUGGGAUCCAUCCCUUGGUAACUACAUGAAAGAAUUAGAGAAAUCAAAGCCUGUCAUACUAACUGGUGAUCUUAAUUGUGCGCAUCAGGAGAUUGAUAUACAUGACCCUGCUGGAAAUCGUAGAAGUGCAGGCUUCACAAACGAGGAAAGAGAAUCAUUUGGGACCAAUUUUUUGUCCAAAGGGUUUGUGCUGGCAGG